rnacentral:rRNA from 1 species
AAAGAAACUAACAAGGAUUCCCCUAGUAACUGCGAGUGAAGCGGGAAAAGCUCAAAUUUAAAAUCUGGUGGUCUUUGGCCAUCCGAGUUGUAAUUUAGAGAAGCGUCUUCCGCGCCGGUCCGUGCACAAGUCUCCUGGAAUGGAGCCUCAUAGAGGGUGAGAAUCCCGUCUUUGGCACGGACGCCCCGGGGCUUUUGUGAUGCGCUCUCGAAGAGUCGAGUUGUUUGGGAAUGCAGCUCAAAAUGGGUGGUGAACUCCAUCUAAAGCUAAAUAUUGGCGAGAGACCGAUAGCGAACAAGUACCGUGAGGGAAAGAUGAAAAGCACUUUGGAAAGAGAGUGAAACAGUACGUGAAAUUGUUGAAAGGGAAACGCUUGAAGUCAGUCGCGUCGACCGAGACCCAGCCUUGCCUCGGCUCGGUGUACUUCUCGGCUCGACGGGUCAGCAUCAAUUUCGCCCCUCGGAUAAUGGCUGGGGAAACGUGGCACCUUUACGGUGUGUUAUAGUCCUCUGUCGCAUGCGAGGGUUGGGAUUGAGGAACUCAGCACGCGCCUUCGGGCGUCGGGGCCUUGCCCACGAUACGUGCUUAGGAUGCUGGCGUAAUGGCUUUAAACGACC